GGGUUGUGAGGUUAAGCGACUAAGCGUACACGGUGGAUGCCCUGGCAGUCAGAGGCGAUGAAGGGCGUGCUAAUCUGCGAUAAGCGCCGGUAAGGUGAUAUGAACCGUUAUAACCGGCGAUACCCGAAUGGGGAAACCCAGUGUGACUCGUCACACUAUCAUUAACUGAAUCCAUAGGUUAAUGAGGCGAACCGGGGGAACUGAAACAUCUAAGUACCCCGAGGAAAAGAAAUCAACCGAGAUUCCCCCAGUAGCGGCGAGCGAACGGGGAGGAGCCCAGAGCCUGAAUCAGCAUGUGUGUUAGUGGAAGCGUCUGGAAAGGCGCGCGAUACAGGGUGACAGCCCCGUACACAAAAGCGCAUGUGCUGUGAGCUCGAUGAGUAGGGCGGGACACGUGGUAUCCUGUCUGAAUAUGGGGGGACCAUCCUCCAAGGCUAAAUACUCCUGACUGACCGAUAGUGAACCAGUACCGUGAGGGAAAGGCGAAAAGAACCCCGGCGAGGGGAGUGAAAAAGAACCUGAAACCGUGUACGUACAAGCAGUGGGAGCACAGGUUUACCUGUGUGACUGCGUACCUUUUGUAUAAUGGGUCAGCGACUUAUAUUCUGUAGCAAGGUUAACCGAAUAGGGGAGCCGGAGGGAAACCGAGUCUUAACCGGGCGUUAAGUUGCAGGGUAUAGACCCGAAACCCGGUGAUCUAGCCAUGGGCAGGUUGAAGGUUGGGUAACACUAACUGGAGGACCGAACCGACUAAUGUUGAAAAAUUAGCGGAUGACCUGUGGCUGGGGGUGAAAGGCCAAUCAAACCGGGAGAUAGCUGGUUCUCCCCGAAAGCUAUUUAGGUAGCGCCUCGUGAAUUCAUCUCCGGGGGUAGAGCACUGUUUCGGCUAGGGGGCCAUCCCGGCUUACCAACCCGAUGCAAACUGCGAAUACCGGAGAAUGUUAUCACGGGAGACACACGGCGGGUGCUAACGUCCGUCGUGAAGAGGGAAACAACCCAGACCGCCAGCUAAGGUCCCAAAGUCAUGGUUAAGUGGGAAACGAUGUGGGAAGGCCCAGACAGCCAGGAUGUUGGCUUAGAAGCAGCCAUCAUUUAAAGAAAGCGUAAUAGCUCACUGGUCGAGUCGGCCUGCGCGGAAGAUGUAACGGGGCUAAACCAUGCACCGAAGCUGCGGCAGCGACGCUGAUGCGUUGUUGGGUAGGGGAGCGUUCUGUAAGCCUGCGAAGGUGGCCUGUGAGGGUUGCUGGAGGUAUCAGAAGUGCGAAUGCUGACAUAAGUAACGAUAAAGCGGGUGAAAAGCCCGCUCGCCGGAAGACCAAGGGUUCCUGUCCAACGUUAAUCGGGGCAGGGUGAGUCGACCCCUAAGGCGAGGCCGAAAGGCGUAGUCGAUGGGAAACGGGUUAAUAUUCCCGUACUUGGUGUUACUGCGAAGGGGGGACGGAGAAGGCUAUGUUGGCCGGGCGACGGUUGUCCCGGUUUAAGCGUGUAGGCUGGUUUUCCAGGCAAAUCCGGAAAAUCA
rnacentral:rRNA from 1 species